rfam:Firmicutes bacterium CAG:110 genomic scaffold, scf294
ACAAACCCUUAUGACUGACGGAUUAGGCUGCAUCCGAGUUUUCGGAGCAGACCGAAGUGGAGCACCACAUGGAGUAAGGGCAUAUCCCCAUUUCCUGCCGACCGUCUGGGCUCACUUU